rfam:Ciona intestinalis ciona0563, whole genome shotgun sequence.
GUGUUGAAUAAAAGGAGAGCUGGUUAGCACUCCCCUUGAUAAGGACGGACAUGUUGAUUGGUUCAGCCAUUCAAUACAUAUAAUGGAUAAGGCACUGUCACCAUGUGGCAUCUAUCCAUGUUUUGUAU